GACGAACGCUGGCGGCGUGCUUAACACAUGCAAGUCGAACGGUGAAGGGAGCUUGCUCCCGGAUCAGUGGCGAACGGGUGAGUAACACGUGAGCAACCUACCCUUGACUCUGGGAUAACAGUUGGAAACAGCUGCUAAUACCGGAUACGACCCCCUCGGGCAUCCGCGGGGGUGGAAAGCUCCGACGGUCAAGGAUGGGCUCGCGGCCUAUCAGCUUGUUGGUGAGGUAACGGCUCACCAAGGCGACGACGGGUAGCCGGCCUGAGAGGGCCGACCGGCCACGACUGGGGACUGAGAUACGGCCCAGACUCCUACGGGUGGCAG
rnacentral:rRNA from 1 species